rnacentral:misc_RNA from 1 species
UACGUAGGUGGCGAGCGUUAUCCGGAAUUACUGGGCGUAAAGCGCACGCAGGCGGCUAGAUAAGUCUGACGUGAAAGCUCCUGGCUUAACUGGGAGAGGUCGUUGGAAACUGUUUAGCUUGAGGCAAUGAGAGGGGUGCGGAAUUCCCGGUGUAGUGGUGGAAUGCGUAGAUAUCGGGGGGAACACCAGUGGCGAAAGCGGCACCCUGGCAUUGACCUGACGCUCAGGUGCGAAAGCGUGGGGAGCGAACGGG